rnacentral:lncRNA from 1 species
GCUGGUGUUGGCCUCCAAUCGUGAAAACCAAUUGAGAACUGUACAUGUCAAAAUUUUAACGACGAAUUGGCCGAAGCUGGUUCCCCAUUGUUGAAGCGAGUACCACCUCACUGUGAAGAAAAAAGAGGUCAUUUGAGCUCGGGAUCUGUUUUUCCACUAUAUGGAGGGGGAAUCUUGAGUCUGAUGUUUGGAAUAGGAAUGCCGGUUAUGCGAUCAGUGAAUGGUGUCCUUUGUGUUUCUUCUAUGACUAUGUCCAUUUCUAUGGACAAUCUGGUGGGCUGAUAGAACUG